rnacentral:tRNA from 1 species
CGGCGAGUAGCGCAGCUUGGUAGCGCAACUGGUUUGGGACCAGUGGGUCGGAGGUUCGAAUCCUCUUCUCGCCGACCA